ensembl:snRNA U6 U6 spliceosomal RNA
GUGCUCACUCUGGCAGCACAUAUACUAAAAUUGGAAGAUACAGGGAAGAUUAGCACGGCGCUGGGGCGAGGAUGACAUGCAAAUUGGUAUACAUAUAUAAAAUAAAU